UACUAAUAAUAAUAAUAAUAUAAUAAUAAUAAAAUUAACCAAGUUGGGUUAGUCUAGUGAUUAGCUCACUAGUCCGUUUAAACAAGUGUUAGGGAUUCGAAUCCUGCCUUGUGCAUGCAGCAAUCCAUUGGCCAGUGGUAAACCGUUAAAUAAAGCUCAGUACCGCGACAGAUUAGUCUUUAACUUAUUGGAUUGGGGGAUACCGUGAAAAACCAAAAAAAUAAUAACAAAAUUAAAUAAAAUAGAAAAGAAGUAUUA